rnacentral:misc_RNA from 1 species
GAUGAAGAACGUAGCGAAAUGCGAUAAGUAAUGUGAAUUGCAGAAUUCAGUGAAUCAACGAAUCUUUGAACGCACAUUGCGCCCGCCAGUAUUCUGGCGGGCAUGCCUGUUCGAGCGUCAUUACAACCCUCAGGCCCCCGGGCCUGGCGUUGGGGAUCGGCGGAAGCCCCCUGCGGGCACAACGCCGUCCCCCAAAUACAGUGGCGGUCCCGCCGCAGCUUCCAUUGCGUAGUAGCUAACACCUCGCAACUGGAGAGCGGCGCGGCCACGCCGUAAAACACCCAACUUCUGAAUGUUGACCUCGAAUCAGGUAGGAAUACCCGCUGAACUUAAGCAUAUCAAUAAGCGGAGGA